AAGUUGGAAAAGUGCCACAGUGGAGAUGUCCAAAUACGUUUCACAGUCAGAGAGAAGGAUCUAGAACACAAGAGGCAGUCUGACAAGGCAAUCAAAGCAGAAUAUUCUCCCCAGCUCUGCUUCUGACCAGAAUUAAUCAGAUACAAUGAGCCUAAUUUUCAUGGCCAAGAGAAGGUAAGGUUUGAGGGAAGCAUGCAGAGAAACGAUGUCCAGGCUUCUCACCUAAUGCUUCAUCAUAGCAAAGCAGACUUCAAAAUGCAUGGAGUUAUGGGGUCAUCCUGAGAAAGGACUCUUGUAGCAGGCCUAAAGUUGAAGUGGAGAAUUUGUUUUGACGGAACACAGUUUCUUGUGCCAUGCCCAGGAGGUCUGUGCUGAGAUCAGGUGGUGACUUACAAACAAGAGACUGUAUGCCCUUGACAAGAGGAUGGCAACCAGGGCCCAGAACACACUUCUGUCCUGCCUCUUUCCGAUACUUCAUGAAAUCCAAAACAAGGAAAAAUGAUGCUGAAAGAAAACAGAGUGCUGAGGCAAGACUGUCCCCCUGUAGCAACACCUGUAUCCUGGAGAGUAUAUACAAGACCUGCCCAAAAACCAAUUUCCCAAAAGGUACCCCAAUAGGGGCUGCAGGAGACUCAAUGAAAAACUUGGUAUCUGGUGUCCUUCAUCCACUGUGCCAUCCCAAGUGAUCCUGACCAGAUUGCUCUGUGCCUGUGAACACGUGUGAGAGUGGGUGCACCAGACCCACCCACCAUCUCCGUGGCCUUGCACUGAUCUCUCUUCAGUCUGCCAACAAAUGAUGUCUGCUUCCACCCCGAUGUGUGCACAGGAAUUGUGGCCACCCUGAGAACACAAAGAUUUUUCUGAAGAUACUCUAGUACUUCUAUGGCUCUAUGUACCAGUCUGUUCAUACAGACUAGAACUGGUCUCUGCAGUGAUGGCUCAUGUCCUCUGCCAUGUUAAAGAGGGAACAGCAGGAGCCCACAUGGCAAAGAAGUGCUGUUUGCCAUGCAAGGCAUUAAGCAGCAGGAGUGUGGGCAGAAGAGGACCUUGUGGUCAACUGGUGAUGGACACCUGGACUCUGUACAGGUUAGACAAUGAUACUUAGAGGCAGGAUUUCAUCCUGGCACUUAGG